rnacentral:rRNA from 1 species
UUAAGUUAUUAAGGGCGCACGGUGGAUGCCUUGGCACUAGAAGCCGAUGAAGGACGUUACUAACGACGAUAUGCUUUGGGGAGCUGUAAGUAAGCUUUGAUCCAGAGAUUUCCGAAUGGGGAAACCCAGCAUGAGUUAUGUCAUGUUAUCGAUAUGUGAAUACAUAGCAUAUCAGAAGGCACACCCGGAGAACUGAAACAUCUUAGUACCCGGAGGAAGAGAAAGAAAAUUCGAUUCCCUUAGUAGCGGCGAGCGAAACGGGAAGAGCCCAAACCAACAAGCUUGCUUGUUGGGGUUGUAGGACACUCUAUACGGAGUUACAAAGGACGACAUUAGACGAAUCAUCUGGAAAGAUGAAUCAAAGAAGGUAAUAAUCCUGUAGUCGAAAAUGUUGUCUCUCUUGAGUGGAUCCUGAGUACGACGGAGCACGUGAAAUUCCGUCGGAAUCUGGGAGGACCAUCUCCUAAGGCUAAAUACUCUCUAGUGACCGAUAGUGAACCAGUACCGUGAGGGAAAGGUGAAAAGCACCCCGGAAGGGGAGUGAAAUAGAACCUGAAACCGUGUGCUUACAAGUAGUCAGAGCCCGUUAAUGGGUGAUGGCGUGCCUUUUGUAGAAUGAACCGGCGAGUUACGAUUUGAUGCAAGGUUAAGCAGUAAAUGUGGAGCCGUAGCGAAAGCGAGUCUGAAUAGGGCGUUUAGUAUUUGGUCGUAGACCCGAAACCAGGUGAUCUACCCUUGGUCAGGUUGAAGUUCAGGUAACACUGAAUGGAGGACCGAACCGACUUACGUUGAAAAGUGAGCGGAUGAACUGAGGGUAGCGGAGAAAUUCCAAUCGAACCUGGAGAUAGCUGGUUCUCUCCGAAAUAGCUUUAGGGCUAGCCUCAAGUGAUGAUUAUUGGAGGUAGAGCACUGUUUGGACGAGGGGCCCCUCUCGGGUUACCGAAUUCAGACAAACUCCGAAUGCCAAUUAAUUUAACUUGGGAGUCAGAACAUGGGUGAUAAGGUCCGUGUUCGAAAGGGAAACAGCCCAGACCACCAGCUAAGGUCCCAAAAUAUAUGUUAAGUGGAAAAGGAUGUGGCGUUGCCCAGACAACUAGGAUGUUGGCUUAGAAGCAGCCAUCAUUUAAAGAGUGCGUAAUAGCUCACUAGUCGAGUGACACUGCGCCGAAAAUGUACCGGGGCUAAACAUAUUACCGAAGCUGUGGAUUGUCCUUUGGACAAUGGUAGGAGAGCGUUCUAAGGGCGUUGAAGCAUGAUCGUAAGGACAUGUGGAGCGCUUAGAAGUGAGAAUGCCGGUGUGAGUAGCGAAAGACGGGUGAGAAUCCCGUCCACCGAUUGACUAAGGUUUCCAGAGGAAGGCUCGUCCGCUCUGGGUUAGUCGGGUCCUAAGCUGAGGCCGACAGGCGUAGGCGAUGGAUAACAGGUUGAUAUUCCUGUACCACCUAUAAUCGUUUUAAUCGAUGGGGGGACGCAGUAGGAUAGGCGAAGCGUGCGAUUGGAUUGCACGUCUAAGCAGUAAGGCUGAGUAUUAGGCAAAUCCGGUACUCGUUAAGGCUGAGCUGUGAUGGGGAGAAGACAUUGAGUCUUCGAGUCGUUGAUUUCACACUGCCGAGAAAAGCCUCUAGAUAGAAAAUAGGUGCCCGUACCGCAAACCGACACAGGUAGUCAAGAUGAGAAUUCUAAGGUGAGCGAGCGAACUCUCGUUAAGGAACUCGGCAAAAAUGACCCCGUAACUUCGGGAGAAGGGGUGCUCUUUAGGGUUAACGCCCAGAAGAGCCGCAGUGAAAUAGGCCCAAGCGACUGUUUAUCAAAAACACAGGUCUCUGCUAAACCGUAAG